rnacentral:rRNA from 1 species
GACGAACGCUGGCGGCGUGCCUAAUACAUGCAAGUAGAACGCUGAAGAGAGGAGCUUGCUCUUCUUGGAUGAGUUGCGAACGGGUGAGUAACGCGUAGGUAACCUGCCUGGUAGCGGGGGAUAACUAUUGGAAACGAUAGCUAAUACCGCAUAAAAUGGAUUAUCGCAUGAUAAUUCAUUGAAAGGUGCAAAUGCAUCACUACCAGAUGGACCUGCGUUGUAUUAGCUAGUUGGUGGGGUAACGGCUCACCAAGGCGACGAUACAUAGCCGACCUGAGAGGGUGAUCGGCCACACUGGGACUGAGACACGGCCCAGACUCCUACGGGAGGCAGCAGUAGGGAAUCUUCGGCAAUGGACGGAAGUCUGACCGAGCAACGCCGCGUGAGUGAAGAAGGUUUUCGGAUCGUAAAGCUCUGUUGUAAGAGAAGAACGAGUGUGAGAGUGGAAAGUUCACACNGNGACGG